rnacentral:rRNA from 1 species
CAGUAGCCACGGGAAUACAGAGGGUGCGAGCGUUAAUCGGAAUUACUGGGCGUAAAGCGUGCGUAGGCGGCUUCUUAAGUCGGAUGUGAAAUCCCUGAGCUUAACUUAGGAAUUGCAUUCGAUACUGGGAAGCUAGAGUAUGGGAGAGGAUGGUAGAAUUCCAGGUGUAGCGGUGAAAUGCGUAGAUAUCGGAAGGAACACCUGUGGCGAAAGCGGCUCACUGGACCAUUACUGACGCUGAGGCGCGAAAGCUAGGGGAGCAAACAGGAUUAGAUACCCCGGUAGUCCCUGUCUCUUAUAC